AUAUUCCUGUACUUGGUGUUACUGCGAAGGGGGGACGGAGAAGGCUAUGUUGGCCGGGCGACGGUUGUCCCGGUUUAAGCGUGUAGGCUGGUUUUCCAGGCAAAUCCGGAAAAUCAAGGCUGAGGCGUGAUGACGAGGCACUACGGUGCUGAAGCAACAAAUGCCCUGCUUCCAGGAAAAGCCUCUAAGCAUCAGGUAACAUCAAAUCGUACCCCAAACCGACACAGGUGGUCAGGUAGAGAAUACCAAGGCGCUUGAGAGAACUCGGGUGAAGGAACUAGGCAAAAUGGUGCCGUAACUUCGGGAGAAGGCACGCUGAUAUGUAGGUGAAGUCCCUUGCGGAUGGAGCUGAAAUCAGUCGAAGAUACCAGCUGGCUGCAACUGUUUAUUAAAAACACAGCACUGUGCAAACACGAAAGUGGACGUAUACGGUGUGACGCCUGCCCGGUGCCGGAAGGUUAAUUGAUGGGGUCAGCGCAAGCGAAGCUCUUGAUCGAAGCCCCGGUAAACGGCGGCCGUAACUAUAACGGUCCUAAGGUAGCGAAAUUCCUUGUCGGGUAAGUUCCGACCUGCACGAAUGGCGUAAUGAUGGCCAGGCUGUCUCCACCCGAGACUCAGUGAAAUUGAACUCGCUGUGAAGAUGCAGUGUACCCGCGGCAAGACGGAAAGACCCCGUGAACCUUUACUAUAGCUUGACACUGAACAUUGAGCCUUGAUGUGUAGGAUAGGUGGGAGGCUUUGAAGUGUGGACGCCAGUCUGCAUGGAGCCGGCCUUGAAAUACCACCCUUUAAUGUUUGAUGUUCUAACGUGGACCCGUGAUCCGGGUUGCGGACAGUGUCUGGUGGGUAGUUUGACUGGGGCGGUCUCCUCCUAAAGAGUAACGGAGGAGCACGAAGGUUGGCUAAUCCUGGUCGGACAUCAGGAGGUUAGUGCAAUGGCAUAAGCCAGCUUGACUGCGAGCGUGACGGCGCGAGCAGGUGCGAAAGCAGGUCAUAGUGAUCCGGUGGUUCUGAAUGGAAGGGCCAUCGCUCAACGGAUAAAAGGUACUCCGGGGAUAACAGGCUGAUACCGCCCAAGAGUUCAUAUCGACGGCGGUGUUUGGCACCUCGAUGUCGGCUCAUCACAUCCUGGGGCUGAAGUAGGUCCCAAGGGUAUGGCUGUUCGCCAUUUAAAGUGGUACGCGAGCUGGGUUUAGAACGUCGUGAGACAGUUCGGUCCCUAUCUGCCGUGGGCGCUGGAGAACUGAGGGGGGCUGCUCCUAGUACGAGAGGACCGGAGUGGACGCAUCACUGGUGUUCGGGUUGUCAUGCCAAUGGCACUGCCCGGUAGCUAAAUGCGGAAGAGAUAAGUGCUGAAAGCAUCUAAGCACGAAACUUGCCCCGAGAUGAGUUCUCCCUGACCCUUUAAGGGUCCUGAAGGAACGUUGAAGACGACGACGUUGAUAGGCCGGGUGUGUAAGCGCAGCGAUGCGUUGAGCUAACCGGUACUAAUGAACCGUGAGG
rnacentral:rRNA from 1 species